GGGAGCACGGCCUUCGGAGAGGGAGCCGGGGAAGGCCAGCAGGCAGGGUUGGCUGGCAAGGGGGCCUCCUACCCGGAGUGUUGGAGAGGAGAGUGGCUGGGUCCCGGCUCGCUCCAUGCACUUUCUCUCCUUUUCCACAGGCUUGGUCUGAGGUUGGAAGGAGAUACCCCCUGAGCUCCAGCUGAGGUGCCCCCUACCUCUCCCCACCCCCACAGCCUACGCUUAGGCGGUCACUGCUGCUUGGCAGUAGGACGUGGUCUCUGACUCCUGGUGGAGGGACCACUGCACAAACUCCUUCAAAACCCUCUCCCACCAGGACUGAGCAGCGUCGGUGGCAAUAGGAAAGGUGCAAACUGGAUCAAGAGCUGGUCCAGGAAAGAUACCGCCCCUGCCCUCUUAGAUGCUUCUGCUGCCCCUAGAGGCCGAGCCGCUGAAGUGCAGCCAUCCUGGCCUCCCUCACCUGCUCAACCACUUUCGGGGAGAGGACGCGGGCAGCGUGAGCAUCGCCAGGCAGCGCUGCCCACCAUCCACAGGCUUUCUGGCCAGGGCAGGUGGCAUCAGCUAGCAGGAGACGGUGGGAGAGACAUAUCUGCACACUCAUAAAUUCAAUGGCAACUCCAGUCCAGAAGCAGGGCUUGGGCCCAGCCCGCUCCGCGCAGCAGCUGCUGCUGGCUGUACUCAGGACAACGCUGUUUCCCCUCCCUCACAGAGGCCCGGUGGCCCCCUACCCCACCCCCCGCCGUAACAGGCAGGUUUAGUUCACGUACACUGUUCGCAUUCUGUAACUUGAGGCAGAGGCUGAGCCGGGAUGCCCCAAGCUCAUCCACUUUUGUUGGGGAGGGCGCCUCCCUGGGUUUAUCACCAGCUCCCAGCCCGGGCCAGGCAGGGAUGUCUGGGGGCCACGCGGGGGCACCGGUGCAAGCUGGCAACAUGACGGAGGGCUUGUGCAGCCCUGACGGGACCCAGAAGCCCAUUUGCUCCCAGUUUCCUCUCUCUGUUUUUUUCCUCCUGGAGGUAGGAGAGAGGGCCUGACCAGGCACCCGAUGAUGGAGCACAGGCAGCUACAUGCUCCCUCUCUCCAGACCAGCCUUCCGUCUUUGGGGUCCGAAGGGGCAUUUGCUGCCAUCCUGAGCCUCCUCUGCCCCUGUCUUGCUCUUCCCCACCAUCCUACAAGUACCUCAGUCUCCAGCAGGCCCACCCCUCCACUUGCAGCCCAGGGCGGGUCUGUUCUGCCAAUGCCCACCUCCUUGAGCCACAGCUAGCUGCCAACUGGGUCUUGGGACACUCUGCAGUACCUGGCUCAAGAGAGACCAGGCCGGGCCGAGCCUUCUUCCCACUGCUGUGGACCAGACCCACGGCCAGGGGAUGGGCAUCCCCAGGUAGCAAUCCCACAAUGCACUGUACCUCAGAGAGAGAGCACGCCAGGGGCACCAAGGGACCGAGCCCUCCGUCCAGAGGGGGACAGCGGUCACAAUACUGCUCACCAAAAGACAAAGGCCAGGCUGCCCUCGGGCACCCCUCAGUCUUCACUUUUGUCUCUCCGGAAGAACCAGCAGUCUGAUUCCGUCUAUUUCAGCCCCCGUCUCUCUCCUCUCCACCCCCACGCUGCUGAACCGUUUUCAUGUCAAUCACAAAGGAAAAAUAAGUGGGGGUGGGGGGAAAUACCUAGGAGUCUAUUAUCACAUAUUAAUAUGUUAAUACUUUCUUUCUUUAAAAAAACAAACCUCUUGAUGUUAUUAUUUUGCAGACUACGCUUUAUAGUACCUGUGUGACGGGACCUAGAACACUGGAUACAAAUAGAGCUAUGUUGGUUUAUCAUAAUAUGUACGCAGAAACUUUCUUUUUGUCAUAUUAUCCUUGUAAUGUAAGAAGAUUGUUAAUAAAAGCAUUUAAAU
ensembl:lncRNA